CAAAAACAUAGCUAUAUGAUUUUAUAUAUAGUUAUUUCUGCUCCAUGGUAUAACUAAAUAGCCGCAGUACUCUGACUGUGCAAAGGUAGCAUAAUCAGUUGGCUCCUAAUUAGAGUCUGGUAUGAAAGAACACAUGGAAAGUAGCUAUCUCAGAAUAUUAUUUCGAAAUUGGUUGUGAGUGCAAACCCUCACACACUUAUAAAAGACGAGAAGACCCUAGAAACUUAUAAUAAAAGUUUUGUUGGGGCGACAGAAUUACAGUAAACUAAUUUUAUAAGGCAAGACGCUAAACAGGUAGUUAAAGUUACUUUAGGGAUAACAGCAUAAUACAUCUGUUUGUGACCUCGAUGUUGGACUAGGUAAAAUAUUCCUUAGAAAGGAAUACGUGAGCUCUGUUCGAGCAAUUGAACCUACGUGAUCUGA
rnacentral:rRNA from 1 species